UACGUAGGGUGCGAGCGUUAAUCGGAAUUACUGGGCGUAAAGGGCUCGUAGGCGGCCAACUAAGUCAGACGUGAAAUCCCUCAGCUUAACUGGGGAACUGCGUCUGAUACUGGAUGGCUUGGAUUCGGGAGAGGAAUGCGGAAUUCCAGGUGUAGCGGUGAAAUGCGUAGAUAUCUAGAGGAACACCGGUGGCGAAGGCGGCAUUCUGGACCGAUAUUGACGCUGAGGAGCGAAAGCCAGGGGAGCAAACGGG
rnacentral:rRNA from 1 species